rnacentral:misc_RNA from 1 species
UGCAUCCAACACCAAAAGGAAGAUCAGAAGAUGGAACGAUGAAAGAAAAAAAAAAUGGAAGCAUCUUUUCUUAUCGUGAGUGCGAGAUAGGCACGCAGUGUGAAAAGCGUACCCACCGUCUUUGUGUUGGGUGUUACUGUACUAUCUCCUCUCCCUUUCUCUCUCUCUGUGGUAAAACAGUACCGAAGAUUGUUUAUUGCUUUAAUUAUUUUUGUGUACCAUACCAUACCAUACCAUACUACCCCAUUUUCCAUAGAGAAAAAACUCCCUCAUAUCAUCAUCAUCACCACCUCCGUCACCCACAUGUCUUCAUUGCCGUGUACUUGCUGACGGGGCAGCUGAUCUGCUUCUGCUAUGCCGGAUUUUAAUUUAAUUAGUUCCCGGGCAAGUAAAUUUUCUGUUUUCUUAUUUAUUCUUCUUUUUCGUUUUCAGAUUGUGUGUGGUUAAUUUAGCUGGAUGGAGUUCAGAGCCUGAAAUUGGGAUUAAUGCAAUUAGAGUUUGUACGCUGGAUUUUGGAGAGGGGGAUUUAGCUGAUUAAAAGGUACUGGCAUGUGGGUUGCUCUUAAUUAGAACCAUGGGUGUGGUGGUGUACUGUUUGUGGGACUUUUGGGGACGAAGCGAGGCUGAUUAGGUGAAUUUCUCAAUUACUGCUUUUUCUGGGGUUUAAUUAAAGCUCUGAUCUUUUAAGGGGAGUGGGUUUUCUUUUCUGGGAUUUUAUAUCACGGUCGGUUCAGUUUGUGAAUUUGGAUCUUUUGGGUAUCUUGGCUUGAUCCAUGGAGGCCAGAUUUGGAGUUGAAAGUGAAGCUCAAGCUCAUCAUUUCUAUGGCACGGGUGCCACAGAAAUGCGGGCAGUGGGGAAGAGGAGUUUAGAGUGGGAUUUGAAUGAUUGGAAAUGGGAUGGUGAUCUUUUCAUUGCUAGCCCUUUGAAUCCUGUACCAUCUGGGGGCAUGGGUAGGCAAUUUUUCCCUGUUGCAACAGGUAUUCCAGUGAAUGGGAAUUCGUCGAAUAGUUCAUCCUCCUGCUCUGACGAAGUGAAUCUGGGAAUUGAGAAAGGAAAGAGGGAAUUAGAGAAAAGGAGAAGGGUUUUAGUCAUUGAAGAUGAUAAUUUGAAUGGUGAAGAAGUGGGUAGCCUUAGUUUGAAGCUUGGUGGCCAGGGUUAUCCAAUUAGCGAAAAGGAGAUGAGAAGUUGGGAGGGAAACAGUGGAAAGAGGACCAAAUUGGCUGGGGGUAGCAUGAGCCGCGCAGUUUGUCAAGUGGAGGACUGUGGUGCUGAUCUGAGCAAUGCCAAGGAUUAUCAUAGACGACAUAAGGUGUGCGAAAUGCAUUCCAAGGCCAGUAAGGCCCUUGUAGGAAAUGUUAUGCAGCGUUUUUGUCAGCAGUGUAGUAGGUUUCAUGUCCUUCAAGAGUUUGAUGAAGGGAAGAGAAGUUGCCGCAGACGUUUAGCUGGCCAUAAUAAAAGGAGGAGGAAAACAAAUCCUGAAGCUGCUGGUAAUGGAAAUUCAUUGAAUGAUGACCAGACUAGUAGUUAUCUAUUGAUAAGUCUCCUGAGGAUACUUACUAACAUGCAUUGUAAGUAAUUCCAUGCUUUUUCCAAUAAAAUUAUACGUUUUAAUUCCGUGCAUGAAUAUAUUCAGAUAUUUCCUUGAUUUGCUGAAUUGAUACUGGCAAACAUGCGAGCAUAGUAGUAUCUUCUUUGUAUGAUAGACAUAUAUUUGACAGAGUAAUGCUGCCUUUCACAAAUUAUAGCUAAUAGGUCAGACCAGGUGACAGACCAGGAUCUUUUAUCUCAUUUGUUGAGGAGCCUUGCAAGCCAUGCUAUUGAACAUGGAGGAAGAAACAUAUCUGGGCUUUUGCAGGAACCUCGGGACUUGCUCAAUGAUGCAAAUUCGGAGCAAGUUGGACGUGCACAUGGCGCUAAUGGUGCAAAUAUGCAAACCUCUUCUUCUGUGAAACCUAGCAUUCCGAGCAACUAUCCAGCAUAUUCAGAAGUUCGAGACAGCACUGCAGGGCAGGUCAAGAUGAACAAUUUUGAUUUGAAUGACAUAUAUGUUGACUCAGAUGAUGGUGCUGAAGAUAUAGAGAGAUCUCCAGUUGCUACAAACAUCGGGACUAGCUCCCUUGAUUGCCCUUCAUGGGUACAACAAGAUUCACAUCAAUCAAGUCCACCACAGACAAGUGGAAAUUCAGAUUCAGUAUCUGCCCAGUCACCUUCUAGUUCUAGUGGAGACACUCAGAGUCGUACGGAUCGAAUUAUUUUCAAACUUUUUGGUAAAGAACCUAAUGAAUUUCCUCUUGUCCUGCGCGCCCAGAUUCUGGGUUGGCUGUCUCAUAGUCCCACUGACAUUGAGAGCUACAUUAGGCCUGGUUGUGUCAUUCUAACCAUUUAUCUUCGUCAGGCUGAGUCUACGUGGGAGGAACUUUGCUGUAAUCUUGGCUCCAGUUUGAGUAGGCUUCUGGACGUAUCAGAUGAUGCUUUCUGGAGAACUGGAUGGGUUUAUAUUAGGGUGCAACAUCAAAUAGCAUUUGUUUGCAAUGGUCAGGUUGUUGUGGAUACAUCCUUGCCUAUCAGAAGUACCAACUAUAGUAAAAUUUUAAGUGUCAAACCAAUCGCAAUAUCUGUGUCUGAAAGAGCUCAAUUUGUGAUUAAAGGAAUCAACCUGUCUCGGCCUACCACAAGAUUACUCUGUGCAGUAGAAGGGAAGUAUAUGUCUCAGGAAAAUACUCAAGAACUAAU